ensembl:lncRNA
CAGGGUCCGACGCUGUGGUCAACAGUGUUUUUUAAAAACUGCUUAGUGCACCUUUAAAACUUAAAAAAAGAGAUUUUGCCUUUCUUGUCAUUCCAACUAAACUUUUACAUUUCAAAUAACUAUUGAUGCAAAAUUUAAUCCAAUUCAGACGGUCAAGGUGUAAUAAUAUGUAAAUUUAUUAAAAAGAAUAUAGAGAACAGAAACCACAAAUCAUAACUUGGAAAUAAAGUUCUGGAUAAUAAUAACAACCUUCAAAUAUAGAAAAUGUAAAUUAAUACAAUUGUAAUUGAAACAUAAACAAUUAUUCUGUUCGAAUUACAAGUACCAAAAUAUUAAGUAUUAAAAUAUCAAAGUAUCAGAGUAUCAAAGUAUCUGAAUUUCAAGGUAUCUGAAUUUGAAUAAAAACCUGUAAGAGUUCUAAGUCUGAGUCUAAGUGUUGUCGAGUGAAGCCAAAGAAGAGGAAGUGAGCUGAAAAGAUAGAGAGACCAGUGCCUCAGAAAGUCAAAACCCUAUUCUAUUUUGCAGAGUCUAUCUUAUAUACUGUUGAUCUAGACAUAAGUCGUCAUCUGGCUAUCACUAAUAACACCUGACCUUUAAAAAUAGUCUAGACAAUGUCUCGAUUUUGGACUUCUUCCUCUUUUAGAUUCAAAGUAUCAUACUGAUAAUUCUAAGAAAUAUUGAUACAAAAGAACAAUACAUACAGUUCAACUUCAUAUGCAAAACAGACUCAGCUGACUACGCAGUUAGAAAUACUGUGAAAUUACAUAUGAAAUAUACCAUAAAGUUUACCAAAAACAUUUUUGAAUAUAAAAAUGAAACCUAUUAAUAUAUAUAUAUGAGACAUGAAAUAUUAUUUUUUUAACUUUUGAAAUGAAACUUAUCAUUAUGAAUAGAACACAUUCUGAGUACGUGACUUCUCAGAAUCUCUCAACAACACUUAACACUUGGGUUUAAUUUAAAUACGUGGACUUCUUCUCAGAAUCUCUAUCACCAUGUGGAUUUCUUAGAAUCUCCACACACCAACUAUCAAGUUGAAAAUACUUACUAUAUAAGUAUAUGCAACUUUACUGAUUCAAUAAACAUCACAAUUUUUUUUGAGUGUGUUCAAUACAGAACUUUGGUAUUGAAAACUUGAAGUUGAGUGGAUAAUUUUUUUACUCAGUAGGGUAGAGUGGGGGAAAACUACUAAUACUACUACAGUUUUUACCAAAAUAAACACAAGAUCAAGUCAAGAUAAAUUUUUAUU